rnacentral:rRNA from 1 species
UACAGAGGUGGCAAGCGUUGUUCGGAAUUACUGGGCGUAAAGGGCGCGUAGGCGGCCUGCUAAGUCGGACGUGAAAUCCCCAGGCUCAACCUGGGAACUGCGUCCGAUACUGGAUGGCUUGAAUCCGGGAGAGGGAUGCAGAAUUCCAGGUGUAGCGGUGAAAUGCGCAGAUAUCAGGAGGAACACCGGUGGCGAAGGCGGAUCUCUGGGCCAUUACUGACGCUGAGGAGCGAAAGCGUGGGGAGCGAACAGG